rnacentral:rRNA from 1 species
CAAGGUCUCCGUUGGUGAACCAGCGGAGGGAUCAUUACCGAGUUUACAACUCCCAAACCCCUGUGAACAUACCUAUCGUUGCUUCGGCGGGAUCGUCCCGGUGCCUUCGGGCCCGGACCCAGGCGCCCGCCGGAGGACCCAAACUCUUGUUUUAUUAAGUAUCUUCUGAGUAAACAAGCAAAUAAAUCAAAACUUUCAACAACGGAUCUCUUGGUUCUGGCAUCGAUGAAGAACGCAGCGAAAUGCGAUAAGUAAUGUGAAUUGCAGAAUUCCGUGAAUCAUCGAAUCUUUGAACGCACAUUGCGCCCGCCAGUAUUCUGGCGGGCAUGCCUGUUCGAGCGUCAUUUCAACCCUCAAGCCCCCGGGCUUGGUGUUGGGGCUCGGCCCGUCCCUAGCGGAUGCGCCGUCCCCGAAAUCUAGUGGCGGUCUCGCUGUAGCCUCCUCUGCGUAGUAGCUAACACCUCGCAACGGGAACGCAGCGCGGCCACGCCGUUAAACCCCCCACUUCUGAAGGUUGACCUCGGAUCAGGUAGGAAUACCCGCUGAACUUAAGCAUAUCA